GUCCUUUUGAUUUUAAUUUAAGGUCUGACCUGCCCAAUGAAAAAAUUAAAUGGCCGCAGUAUUUUGACUGUGCAAAGGUAGCAUAAUCAUUAGCUUUUUAAUUAAAAGCUUGUAUGAAGGGUUGGACGAAAUAAAAACUGUCUUAAUUUAAUUUAUUUUAGAAUUUAAUUUUUUAGUUAAAAAGCUUAAAUGUUAUUAAAAGACGAGAAGACCCUAUAGAUUUUUAUAAUUUAUAUUUUUAAUUAAGUUUUGGAAUUUAUUAUUAUUUAAUUUAUUAAUUAUUAUAUUGGGGUAAUAUAAAGAUUAAAAUAAUUCUUUGUUUAUUUUUACAUUAAUUUAUGAAUAUUUGAUCCAAUAAUAUUGAUUAUAAGAUUAAAUUACCUUAGGGAUAACAGCGUAAUUUUUUUAUAGAGUUCAUAUCGAUAAAAAAGUUUGCGACCUCGAUGUUGGAUUAAAAAUUAUCCUAGGUGAAGAAGUUUAGGAUUUUGGUCUGUUCGACCAUUAAAUUUUUACA
rnacentral:rRNA from 1 species